GAUGAACGCUGGCGGUAUGCUUAACACAUGCAAGUCGAACGGACUCUUCGGAGUUAGUGGCGGACGGGUGAGUAACGCGUGAGAAUCUGGCUUUGGGUUCGGGACAACCACUGGAAACGGUGGCUAAUACCGGAUGUGCCGAGAGGUAAAAGAGAAAUUGCCUGAAGAUGAGCUCGCGUCUGAUUAGCUAGUUGGUGAGGUAAAGGCUCACCAAGGCAGCGAUCAGUAGCUGGUCUGAGAGGAUGACCAGCCACACUGGGACUGAGACACGGCCCAGACUCCUACGGGAGGCAGCAGUGGGGAAUUUUCCGCAAGGGGCGAAAGCCUGACGGAGCAAUACCGCGUGAGGGAAGAAGGCUCUUGGGUUGUAAACCUCUUUUCUUAGGGAAGAACAAAAUGACGGUACCUAAGGAAUCAGCAUCGGCUAACUCCGUG
rnacentral:rRNA from 1 species